ACAAACGCUGGCGGCGUGCCUAAUACAUGCAAGUCGAACGGUCUUUUCUAUGGAAGCUUGCUUCCACUGAGAAGAUAGUGGCGAACGGGUGAGUAACACGUGGGUAACCUGCCCAUAAGAGGGGGAUAACAGUCCGGAAACGGGUGCUAAUACCGCAUAGGUUUCUUGGUCGCAUGAUCGAGAAAGGAAAGACGGCCUUUGUGCUGUCGCUUAUGGAUGGACCCGNGGCGCAUUAGCUAGUUGGUGAGGUAACGGCUCACCAAGACGACGAUGCGUAGCCGACCUGAGAGGGUGAUCGGCACAUUGGAACUGAGACACGGUCCAGACU
rnacentral:rRNA from 1 species